CGUUGAUGGAUUAUAUGUUUUGAUGUCAUGUUCUUACCAUCAGAGUCGACUGGAUUGUCCACUUCCUCUGUGUAGUUUACCUCCGUUCUGACAUGACCUUCAAUCAAAAGGGAUCAUUUGUGUGGCAGCAGAGAAGUCUUAGAAAAUAAGAGUUUUAUGACAGUUUUAGACCUAACAAGCAACGUAUUUACAGAGGACCUCCAUCUUCAGGCCGCUGUCAGACGAGGGUCCGUCGGGCAUUUGUAGUGCCUGCACAAACGCUUCUGUAAACUGCUGCACGACUGGGAAAAUCAAGGCUUUGGCUGCACCCUGAAAGCACACAAGAACUACAGUUAGAAAUAAUGGAAUCAUUUUAUAUACUGUAUGUAAUAAAUUUAAACUGCGUCCUGACCUUUUCAAGUUCCUCAAUAGCACAGAUGAGGUUGGCACAGGUGGUGAAGAUCUCCACAGCUCUUGAACGGGUACGGAUGCUGUACACCUGCCGCGGUGAUGGCAUGUUCGUGUACCUGUGAGGACCCUCAUGGCCCCGUGUACGGCGCUGACGUCACCGCUGACCAACAUUUCCAUCAGGAGGGUAAAGAGCUGCGGCCAGGCCUCGGGCCAGUCCCAGUGAGCGAUGGCGGACACGGCGUAGGCCACACUGGAACGCACCUUGCUGAUGGACUCGCGCAGACCACUAGGCAGCAAGCUCCGAAUGGCGGCUUUGGCCUGGAAAGAACGUGGACUUAAGAGGGCGCACGGUUUUUAAUGCAGUUAAGCAGAGGUCCUGCUCUAGCCUGUACCUGCUCAGUGGUUUCGGGGGGUCGGAACUUCUCUGAGUGGGAACACCAAUGAGUUUCUACAUACUGCUUAAGAAUGACUGACGCUAACUGGGCACAGGGCAAAGAUUUUGCGGUCAGUAGCAAACAUGAACACUAUAGCUUCUGAUUAGUAAGACUUUUUGGAUCUUGAUAGCGUGCAUACAUUCACGAUAACUCACCUGGCGGAUGGCAAGUGCUCCUUGUGGGUCGACUGUGAGUUCUGCAAGGUGGACACCAAACUCUAUACAAAGGAUAUAUAGAAAAAUAUUCAUUUGAAAGAUAUUUUGUAAUUGCUAUAAGUGCUAAUUCUUGGUCUGGUUGAUAACUGUUAACCAUGCCCGCAUCACUGAAAAAAAAAGAUUUAAAAUCAGCUAAAAAAAAAAAAAAAACAUUCCUAUUUACAGAUAUUUUGAAUAAUAAUACGGCAAAUAUAUCACACAAAAAGUUUAGAAAAAAUAAAAUUUCCAUCAAGCUAUAAAUCUAUAUUUUUCAAUGACAAUAUUAUGCAAAAAUAAGAUAAAGUACAUGAUCUUAUUUUUCAUAAUUAUGGA